AAAUACAACGAUAGUAUACAAUAUAGUAAUAUUAUUUGGGUCACCACAGACCAUCUUCCGGGGUUUUAAAUUCAGGUGGUUUAACACUUUGAGAAUGGAUAUAGGUAUGAUGAGUCUCUCAAUCUCUUAUCUCUAUCUGUUUGUGAGUUACAAGACAUUGAAGUUGGGAUGGUGAAGGACAAGAGUGAGAAAAUUAAGGCUGAUCAGUACACAAUCUUGGAGCUUUUCCUGGGAAAAAGAAAGGGUUGCGGUGGUGGUGUUGGUGGCAGUGGCAGUGGCAGCAGCGGCGGAGGCAGCCCCUACAAACUUGCAGGUUGAAAAUGUUGAGGGCUGCGGGUGUUGAUGCCUGGAAAAGGAAAAUGGAAGUGGAGAUGAGAUUGUCAACACAUGGGAUGCACAAGGUUUUCGAUAGCAUUUCUGAGGACUGCUCUGGCUAUUGUAGGAACCCCAUUUUACAGGUUAUGUCCUUGCAACUCCAGCUCUUCUUCCUCUUCUACUUCUUCG